CUUGAAAGCCCACGGGCUUGCGCGUUGCCUAGGGUUCACUGGGGCGAGCGAUAAGCAAGCAAUCCUUGGGUUGGCAACACAAGCUCAGUCUUGCGUAUAUUGGCCAGGGCUUUCUCACAGCUCCUAGAGACGGACCUCAGACGUGCAUCACGUGGCCCUCUGAAAACAUGGAGCUCAUUGCUCCGAAGCCAACAGGAGAGCUUCUCCCAGUCCUGCUGCUGCUGCUGUUACAGCUGCUUACGACAGCUAUUGUUGUGGCUAGAGUCUUAUAUUCAAUGUGACACCAUAGGAGAAAUGAUUCCACCACUUUUGCUAUACUACGUAAACUAAUCAAAGGAGGAACAUCCCAUUAUACUCUCAAACCCUGUCUAUAUUCAGGGAGAGGUUAUAACCCAGUUCACUGGGAUCUUAGAAGCCAUUUUUAGGUCUUGCCAACCAUGGCUCUUGAAUGGGUAACUGCUGC